rnacentral:rRNA from 1 species
ACGAACGCUGGCGGCGUGCCUAACACAUGCAAGUCAAGGGGUAGCAAUACCACUGGCGGACGGGUGAGUAACGCGUAGGUCAUCUGCCUUUAUCCGGAACAUAACAUCGAGAAAUCGAUGCUAAUAUUCCAUGAGGCCCGCAAGGGUCAAAGCUUCACGGUGGAUAAAGAUGAGCCUGCGUCUGAUUAGCUUGUUGGUGAGGUAAUGGCUCACCAAGGCAUCGAUCAGUAGCUGGUCUGAGAGGACGAUCAGCCACACUGGAACUGAGACACGGUCCAGACUCCUACGGGAGGCAGCAGUGAGGAAUUUUGGUCAAUGGGCGAAAGCCUGAACCAGCGACGCCGCGUGCGGGAUGAAGGAGCUUUGCUUCGUAAACCGCUGUCGGGUGGGAAGAAAAGCAGGGUCGCCCUGCUGGGACUGUACCACAAAAGGAAGGAUCGGCUAACUACGU